rnacentral:rRNA from 1 species
AGCGUGGCAACACGUGAAGCUAAGCCUUACUAAUCGCUCGAUCGGCUUGAUC